rnacentral:tRNA from 1 species
UCCUGAGGGGUAGCUCAGUUGGUAGAGCAUGAGACUCUUAAUCUCAGGGUCGUGGGUUUGAGAUCCGCACUGGGCA